CCUUAUGUUCCCAGGCUUCUUUCUCCUUUGGGUACCAGCUCCUUAUUGACCCUGCAGACGUGCGUGUUUGUGGCCAGGGAAAGGAAGAGUUCCCAAGUUCUGUGUUCACAGACAUCUAGAGGCAAGAAAAAGAACUGGGAACUCCCCUGCAUCAGCACAGUUAAGCAGGAAACAAUAACAACAUCAUACAAAAACCCUGCGAAGAAAAUAAUGGAAAGCCAAAGUGCAGCGUGCCAAAGAGGGAGGAAGAACGCCCCUAUGGAGAAUUUGAACGCCAACAAACGGAAGGGAAUUUGAGACAGAGGCUGCUUCGGUCUCUCAAAGAAUUUAAAGAGGACAUAAACUAUAGGCAUUUUAAGGAUGAAGAAAUGACAGGAGAGGGGGAUGAUAUAGAAAGGUGUUUGGAAGAGAUAAGAGGUCUGAGAAAGAAAUUUACGGCUCUGCAUUCCAACCGUAGGCAUCCUCGGGACCGGCCUUAUCCCAUUUAAUGCAUUUCCCCGAAAAUUCAGUUAUUUUCUGUUCUUAAUAUUGCCCUUGUUUUCUGUUAGUUUGCAUUUUCUUGCUAAACAUUUGUUACCAUUUUACCUCGAUCCUUCACUGUUGCUUAGAUUUACAUGUGACUCUUGUCAACAUCUCAUCUUUUAACCCAAUCUUACUCACUUAAUAAGCCAUCUCAUUCAUUUGUAUGGGGAGAUGCUCAUUGCAUAUUGUAAAGUAAAAACAGUAAGUUGGGAAACAGUAUGUGUGUAUAUAUGUAUAUAUACAUACACACACACACAUACUUUAUAUGUAUAUUUCUAUAUGACA